rnacentral:rRNA from 1 species
UACGUAGGGUGCAAGCGUUGUCCGGAAUUAUUGGGCGUAAAGAGCUCGUAGGCGGUUUGUCGCGUCUGCUGUGAAAACGCGAGGCUCAACCUCGCGCCUGCAGUGGGUACGGGCAGACUAGAGUGCGGUAGGGAGAUUGGAAUCCUGGUGUAGCGGUGGAAUGCGCAGGAUAUCAGGAGGAACACCGAUGGCGAGGGCAGAGUCUCGGGCCGUAACUGACGCUGAGGAGCGAAAGCGUGGGGAGCGAACAGG